rnacentral:lncRNA from 1 species
CACUGAAUAAUGACAGGAGGAAAACCAUGUAUUGAGCUUGUAUACACUGGGUGCUCUGCCAGGCAAUGGAGAUAAGGAGGCUCAUUCCUGCAUAAGACACUGGGACAUGUGGCCUGUGUCACCCAUGUCAUGUCAAACCAACCUGUGGACACAGGUCUUCUGCUUCCCCAAGGCUGGAAUGCGGAAAAACACAUCAAACGCCCUAGUUCUGCUCAGCACCAAGACCUAGAUUCACUCUUCAGAAAGCCUCAAAUUGCCAGCGCCAGUCUUCUGGCAUAGUUCCUCUUAUGUGCUGAAAAAAGGAGAUAAAGUGCAGCAGACAGAUGAGAAACUUCCCAGUGAUCAGAAGCCAUAUUAUUAAUCUGGUCCACUUAACAAAUGGAGUAACUCAGACGCAGCAUAACUUGUCUAAGCCUUAGCAGAAAGGAGGAGAAUUAGAAACAAGCUUUCCUGAGUCCUAAUCUAUUGCCUGCGCCCAUACUGCCUGCCCUCCUUAAAGCCUGAAUCCCAGUCUGUGCGAAUGAUCCUGUCGUCCAGAUGAGUUCUGUUUAUGAAACGCAUGGCAUUUUCUGCAUCUGCUCUCGAGUAUUCCACAAAACAGAAGCCACACGCUGUUUUCAUUUUAUCCAAAACCAUAAUGAUCUUCUUUAUGUCACCACUUUUGCUGAGUUCAUAAAUUUGUUCUUCAGUUGUGUAAAAGGAAAGAUUUCCGAUAUACAAUGUACAACUUUUCUUCAGUAAUUUUUCUUGUUGUCACUUCGAAAGUGCUGGUCCUGGUACUGGCUCAGCUCCACAUAGGAGUCGCUGCGCAAUGCCUUCAAGAGGUCAACAUGAUGCUAAGAGGUAGAGAAAGAUGCAUCGCCUUUGUGAACAGCUAAGGAG